rnacentral:rRNA from 1 species
GAUGAACGCUGGCGGCGUGCCUAAUACAUGCAAGUCGAGCGAACAGACGAGGAGCUUGCUCCCCUGACGUUAGCGGCGGACGGGUGAGUAACACGUGGAUAACCUACCUAUAAGACUGGGAUAACUUCGGGAAACCGGAGCUAAUACCGGAUAAUAUAUUGAACCGCAUGGUUCAAUAGUGAAAGACGGUUUUGCUGUCACUUAUAGAUGGAUCCGCGCCGCAUUAGCUAGUUGGUAAGGUAACGGCUUACCAAGGCGACGAUGCGUAGCCGACCUGAGAGGGUGAUCGGCCACACUGGAACUGAGACACGGUCCAGACUCCUACGGGAGGCAGCAGUAGGGAAUCUUCCGCAAUGGGCGAAAGCCUGACGGAGCAACGCCGCGUGAGUGAUGAAGGUCUUCGGAUCGUAAAGCUCUGUUAUUAGGGAAGAACAAAUGUGUAUGUAACUAUGCACGUCUUGACGGUACCUGAACAGAAAGCCACGGCUAACUACGUG